rnacentral:misc_RNA from 1 species
AACGCACCUUGCGCUCCUUGGCAUUCCGAGGAGCAUGCCUGUUCGAGUGUCUUUGAACUAGUCGACCCCAAGUCAUUGGGGCUUCGGAUAUUGGACGUCGUGCAGCUUUAGGGUUGCUCGUCCUAAACUCAUUAGCCGCGUUUUCGUCCUGGUGAUGGAGUGUAAAUGCAUCUCCGUCCUUGCCAGCGUCACGCGUGGCUGAAAACCCCCAGACACACACGUGUCAUUCUUUUGGCCUCGAAUCAGGUAGGACUACCCGCUGAACUUAA